rnacentral:precursor_RNA from 1 species
GGGUGCAGGCGGUGGGGGCGAAGAUUGGGUUGGGUGAGAGACUAGAACCGGUGUUCUCAACCCUUCUGGAGCCCUACCCUCUGUGCC